UGAGGAAUAUUGCACAAUGGGCGAGAGCCUGAACCAGCCAAGUCGCGUGCAGGAAGACGGCCCUAUGGGUUGUAAACUGUUUUUAUAUGGGAAUAAAGUGAGGGACGUGUCCCUUAUUGGAUGUACCAUACGAAUAAGGACCGGCUAAUUCCGUGCCAGCAGCCGCGGUAAUACGGAAGGUGCAGGCGUUAUCCGGAUUUAUUGGGUUUAAAGGGAGCGUAGGCGGUUUGUUAAGCGUGUUGUGAAAUGUAAGCGCUCAACUUUUGGAUUGCAGCGCGAACUGGCAGGCUUGAGUGCGCAGGAGGUGGGCGGAAUUCAUGGUGUAGCGGUGAAAUGCUUAGAUAUCAUGACGAACACCGAUUGCGAAGGCAGCUUACGGGAGCGCAACUGACGCUAAGGCUCGAAGGUGCGGGUAUCGAACAGG
rnacentral:rRNA from 1 species